GAUGAACGCUGGCGGCGUGCCUAACACAUGCAAGUCGAACGGAGUCCAGCCUUUAAGACCUUCGGGUCAAAGAGGGGAAGACUGAGUGGCGGACGGGUGAGUAACACGUGGGCAACCUGGCUCAUAGAGGGGGAUAACAGAGAGAAAUUUCUGCUAAUACCGCAUAAGCACACACUGCCGCAUGGCAGAGGGUGAAAAGAGAAUCGCUAUGAGAUGGACCCGCGUCUGAUUAGCCAGUUGGCAGGGUAAGAGCCUACCAAAGCGACGAUCAGUAGCCGAUCUGAGAGGAUGAACGGCCACAUUGGGACUGAGACACGGCCCAAACUCCUACGGGAGGCAGCAGUGGGGGAUAUUGCACAAUGGGGGGAACCCUGAUGCAGCGACGCCGCGUGAGUGAUGAAGUAUUUCGGUAUGUAAAGCUCUAUCAGCAGGGAAGAUAAUGACAGUACCUGAAUAAGAAGCCCCGGCUAACUACGUG
rnacentral:rRNA from 1 species